GCCAGCUGUGGUGGUGUGUGCCUGUAAUAUCAGUUACCUGGGAGACUGAGGCUGGAGGAUCGCCUGAGUCCAGGAGUUCUGGGCUCUAGAGCCCUAUGCCGAUAGGGUGUCUGCACUAAGUUCGGCAUCAAUAUGGUGAACUCCUGGGAGCGGAGGACCACCAGGUUGCCUAAGGAGGGGUGAACCAGCCCAGGUUGGAAACAGAGGAGGUCAAAACUCCCAUGCUGAUCAAUAGUGGGAUCCCGCCUGUGAAUAGCCACUGCACUCCAGCUUGGGCAACAUAGUGAGACCCCAUCGCUU
ensembl:misc_RNA Metazoa_SRP Metazoan signal recognition particle RNA